rnacentral:rRNA from 1 species
AUUGAACGCUGGCGGCAUGCCUUACACAUGCAAGUCGAACGGCANCACGGGGGCAACCCUGGUGGCGAGUGGCGAACGGGUGAGUAAUACAUCGGAACGUGCCCGGUAGUGGGGGAUAGCUCGGCGAAAGCCGGAUUAAUACCGCAUACGACCUGCGGGUGAAAGCGGGGGAUCGCAAGACCUCGCGCUAUCGGAGCGGCCGAUGUCAGAUUAGGUUGUUGGUGGGGUAAAGGCCUACCAAGCCGACGAUCUGUAGCUGGUCUGAGAGGACGACCAGCCACACUGGGACUGAGACACGGCCCAGGACUCCUACGGGAGGCAGCAGUGGGGAAUUUUGGACAAUGGGCGCAAGCCUGAUCCAGCCAUGCCGCGUGCGGGAAGAAGGCCU